rnacentral:rRNA from 1 species
UAGGGAAUCUUCGGCAAUGGACGAAAGUCUGACCGAGCAACGCCGCGUGAGUGAAGAAGGUUUUCGGAUCGUAAAACUCUGUUGUUAGAGAAGAACAAGGACGUUAGUAACUGAACGUCCCCUGACGGUAUCUAACCAGAAAGCCACGGCUAACUACUUGCCAGCAGCCGCGGUAAUACGUAGGUGGCAAGCGUUGUCCGGAUUUAUUGGGCGUAAAGCGAGCGCAGGCGGUUUCUUAAGUCUGAUGUGAAAGCCCCCGGCUCAACCGGGGAGGGUCCUUGGAAACUGGGAGACUUGGGUGCAGAAGAGGAGAGUGGAAUUCCAUGUGUAGCGGUGAAAGGCGUAGAUAUAUGGAGGAACACCAGUGGCGAAGGCGGCUCUCUGGUCUGUAACUGACGAUGAGGCUCGAAAGCGUGGGGAGCAAACAGG